rnacentral:rRNA from 1 species
GACGAACGCUGGCGGCGUGCUUAACACAUGCAAGUCGAACGGUAACGCCCGAGCUUGCUCGGUCUCUCGAGUGGCGAACGGGUGAGUAACACGUGAGUAACCUGCCCUUCACUUUGGGAUAACCCCGGGAAACUGGGGCUAAUACCGGAUAUGAGCUCCUGUUGCAUGGCGGGGUUUGGAAAUUUUUUGGGGUAGGGAUGGGCUCCCGGCCUGUUCGUUUGUUGGUGGGGUAGUGGCUCACCAAGGCGAUGACGGGUAGCCGGCCUGGGGGGGUGACCGGCCACACUGGGACUGAGACACGGCCCAGACUCCUACGGGAGGCAGCAGUGGGGAAUAUUGCACAAUGGGCGGAAGCCUGAUGCAGCGACGCCGCGUGAGGGAUGACGGCCUUCGGGUUGUAAACCUCUUUCGGCAGGGAAGAAGCGAAAGUGACGGUACCUGGAGAAGAAGCGCCGGCUAACUACGUG